rnacentral:misc_RNA from 1 species
CGAGUUUUGCUAUUAUUACAAUUUACAUGAACGAGUGAUGCGUAUUCUACUUAACUAGAACAAGAGAUCUCCUCAGGAAUACCAUUGUCUCAACCAAAGUUAGAGACAAUAGACAGAAUAAGCAAACAAAGAUUUAAAAAACCAACCAAAAUAUGAUAAUAAAACCAAUGAAUUAUUGCUUAGUAGUACUAACGUGGUCUCUAUAGCUAUAAAAUCUCAAAUUCAAGUCUCACCAAAUAUCCCAAUGAAUUUCAAAGCCACAACAUAAUAUUAAUCUCACAAAAGAAUUUCAGCAUCAAGAAAUCAACACAUCUGAAGUUAGAACAACACUCACUUUUGACGUGGAAGCUCACGAGGUUUCGAUUUCAGCCAUGUUGGAGGAGGCCAGAAAAUCUUAGAAUAGCCAGGAAACUUAGCCAAAGGACCAUAAGUACCAUCCUCCAAGGAAAAAAAUACCAGCAUCAAACGCAGGGUGAUCAUCAUUUUCUUCAUAGAAUGAAUAAUCAUGAUAAUAGACGCAAUUCUUCUUGCACCCAUGAAAACCUUUCUCUAAAACAGAGAACGAGACAUCAUCACCAACAAACAGCACACGAUUAUCCAAUCCUUCCAUCUGAACCCAGUCAUGCUUCUCUUCGUCCAGCUUGUAGACUAUCAUUGGAACAGGACAGUUAUCAUCAGAAUCCGACGAAUAAACACAAAGGUCAAAAUCAUCAAGACGGUACUUAUCAAUCCGCAACAGAUCCCCAAAUCCUGACCACCAUAUCCAUAGCAAGAGCCAUACAUUACAGGAGAAAAUUCGGUAAGUUUCAAUGUAGCAGGAUCAACUGACAAAACCAAUCCAGUGAAAUCAAGAGCAUAAAAUUUCCCCUUAUGAUAAACAAUAUCAAAAUAAUGAGAUCGCUCGCGAUUAUCAUUGAUAUUGUGCCAUUCCGUGUCUCCCAUCCUCCAUACCCCCAAUUUUCCAGCAGUAUGCAACGCCAUUAUCGCAAAACCAUCUCCAAUCUUAUCUAAAUUCGAAGAAGUAACAACUUUCUUGAUCAUAGUAGUAGACUUGAGUUCAUUAAAGUCAAGCUCAGGGGCUUUCCCUUGAUCAACAAACUUCAGCCCAUAAGCCUUGCUUAUCUCGUCAACUCUGUAAUCCAGUAAAUUCAAAACCUUGGGCAAAUUCUUGUUAAGAUUCUUAAAUGGAAAUCAGGAAAGUGGGUCUCUGAGAAUCACCUUACCUGAUUUUGACUCUUCAAUCUUGAUUAGCCAGGUUUUGGUGGUCUUACAGGAGUCAGAGAUUUUGGUGAGAGGUUGGAGGGCGUAAAUGGUGGACUCUAUGAGCAAAAAGUAGCCGCUGCGGUUGGGAUUGAGAUAUGGGUUGGGGCCUAUGGCGAAAGGGAGCUUAAGAGAUGGGCAUGGAGAUGGGAUUUCGGGAGGAGGAGGGAUCGAUGACCGCCACGAGUAGCAAACGGCGCUAAAACGGAGAAUGUCGACGCUAGUAUCAAGGCAUUUGGCGAUCUUGGACAAGAGAUCGAUUCCGAGACUAGCCCACUGGGGUGAGCUUGAAUCCAUGGCGACUGAGAGUGGAGAAG